AUUGGUCGCGUUCACCAGAAUAAUCCGAGUGCAAUCCGAUUAAUUUGCGCUGAAACGCUGACAGUUUUUUUACUAGUGAACGACUGACGUUUGACAUUCGAUUGAGAGUGUUCUGUGUUCCAUUUGUUUAUUUUUUUAUUCUUUGUUUAUAUAAUUUAUAACCUAGACAGUUUUGUUUUUAAAUAAAACUGAAACUGUGUCUAAGCUAAAAUGGAUAAUAUUCAUGAAGAAUUUUUGUUUGGGGACGAAAUUAGCAAAUGCCGUUAUACAUUUAGCAGAUGUACCUGCCUCACAAUUAUUCCAGAAGGAUGAGAUGAAAUUAAAUAUAUAUAAACCAUAAUUCAAUAUCCAAUUUAGAGAACAUUUUCGUAUGUCCAGAACUACUUUCCAGGAACUAUUUAAUUGUAUUGGUCAUAUCCACCAAUUUGAAAACAGAAUAAUUCUAUUGGAAAAAAUUAAUGUUUAUGAUGUGGAUGCUAAGUAAACCAGAGAAUUUGUUGCUGGGGAUACGUUUGGUUUGCCAAAGAGCUCUGGACAUAAGAUUUUCACCCAAAUAAUAUAGAAUUACAAAAAAUUGGAAAUAACUAAUCUUGAAUAUCAAUGUGUAUAUUGAGUUUAAUUUUAUUGUAAAUAUUCUAUAAUAUAAUUUUAUUGUAAAUAUUGUAUUAACACAUUUGUGGACACAUCUUCAUAUGCAGACAGUAAUUUCCCUUUGUAAGUACAUGCAUAUUAGUCGUAUCUGCGAAUGGGUUAAUUGUAAAUCGUAAUCAAUAAAAAUUUUUUGUGAAUCAAUAAAAAACUGGUUUGUUUGAAAAUAAAUGUAGUACAAAUGUG